rnacentral:misc_RNA from 1 species
GAUGAAGAACGUAGCGAAAUGCGAUAAGUAGUGUGAAUUGCAGAAUUUAGUGAAUCAUCGAAUCUUUGAACGCACAUUGCGCCCUUUGGUAUUCCUUAGGGCAUGCCUGUUCGAGCGUCAUCUACACCCUCAAGCACAGCUUGGUGAUGGGCGCCUGUCCCGCCCCCCACGGGGGCGCGGACUCGCCUCAAAUGCAUUGGCGGCCGGCGACCUGGCUUCGAGCGCAGCAGAAACGCGUACUCGGGGACCGGGCGCCCGCUCCCAGAAGCCAACCCACCCCGUUUGACCUCGGAUCAGGUAGGGAUACCCGCUGAACUUAAGCAUAUCAAUAAGCGGAGGA